rnacentral:rRNA from 1 species
AGUGAACGCUGGCGGUAGGCCUAACACAUGCAAGUCGAACGGCAGCACAGUAAGAGCUUGCUCUUACGGGUGGCGAGUGGCGGACGGGUGAGGAAUACAUCGGAAUCUACUUUUUCGUGGGGGAUAACGUAGGGAAACUUACGCUAAUACCGCAUACGACCUACGGGUGAAAGCAGGGGAUCUUCGGACCUUGCGCGAUUGAAUGAGCCGAUGUCGGAUUAGCUAGUUGGCGGGGUAAAGGCCCACCAAGGCGACGAUCCGUAGCUGGUCUGAGAGGAUGAUCAGCCACACUGGAACUGAGACACGGUCCAGACUCCUACGGGAGGCAGCAGUGGGGAAUAUUGGACAAAGGGCGCAAGCCUGAUCCAGCCAUACCGCGUGGGUGAAGAAGGCCUUCGGGUUGUAAAGCCCUUUUAUUGGGAAAGAAAAGCAGCAGGUUAAUACCCCGCUGUUCUGACGGUACCCAAAGAAUAAGCACCGGCUAACUUCGUG